GGAGAAUAUCAUGACCUUACGAGCAACGGCAUCACUGCAAAACUUGGGAGGCUUCCAUUUCGGUGGCCUGGAAAUCAAAGCAAAUAAUGCCUCUCGAUGAAAACUCAAAAAAUGGUGGGAUGAAGCAGACAAAAAGGCGUGGAGGUGAAAAAGGGAGAAGGAAGCUCUAAAACUGGCGAUCCAUUCAGAUGAGAUUAAAUUAUAAUUAAUAUUCAGUUCCCGUUCAUCAUGGCAGAAGGUAUUUAAUUUUAGCGGGGGUUACACAUGGAAAGAAAUGUUGAAAAGAACAGCAGUUUAAACCGUUCACACUCCGCGCAGAUGGAAGAAAAAAAAAAGAAACGCACCGUGAAGCCCACAUCAGUACAAAAACAGGAUAACAGCUUUUAUUCGGAUCUGCGUUCUACACGAAUCACAUCGAAAAUACGACAGCUUUCGCCAUUUGUCGUUCUUCGGGUAAUCAGCGCUUCAAAGUUUGGAUUUCGAGCCACGAAAUUCGAAUUUGGGAAAAAAGAAGACGAUCAGCGACUGUUUGGCGGACCGCCUAAAUGUCCAACGCCGCACUUUUUGCUCAAUUAUUGGAAUAUAGACUGGAUAACGAUGUGCGGGCGUAUACAAUUAUAAGGAAAUCCAACACGUCUUUCUUGUACGGUGCCAUAACUUAAGAGAUGUGAGAUGGCGACACUUGAUACAACUUCCGGAUCGUCGAAAAUCAUUUUCAAAAGUUUCGUGGUAACGUGAAAGUGAUCUAACGCUGUAUAUGGUACAUGUUCCAAAGGAAAUUUUUGUUCUCUGAGGACGUUCUUUAAUCCAACUUUUACCGAGAAAUCAAAUCAAGUCGGGCGAAUCGCACAGACUCGCAAACGGCGUCAGUCAGUCGAAGGGAAACGCCGUAUUGAAAAAAGUUUGAAUAGAUUCGAUACUUCGAAAACUUUCGAUUGGUUUUCAUUACACGAUCUCAAUCUUCAAUUCGCAAGCUACAGAAGUUUGCGUAAUAACCAGAUAUUUCUACGUUCAAAUGAAAUAGCGAGACAU
rnacentral:lncRNA from 1 species